rnacentral:lncRNA from 1 species
CAUCCGCCGCCUGACAGACCUGGCUCCUCGUGGAGAAUUUUCUACCUGUCUGUGCACCAGGCUGGGAGCUGACGGACAGGCAUUUCUCGCUCUCUGUGUGUCUCUCUCACACACACCAAACCGAUCAGAUGCUUCAGGACCGGCCACUUUGCAAGGGGAACAACACGGGAGGGUUUGUAUUACUCCAGCACCUAUGCGUUGCAGCCUCCCUCCCUGCCUUCCCAACCAGGGGCAGGACCUGACCCGGAUUAGCACCGACUUUAACUCCAAGUUGGAAAUAACGCGGUACCUGACAGGGCUGGCCGGGGAGGAACUGCUGACCUGUCGAAAGAAAUAUAUCUGUGUCUCCGAGAAUGUCAGGACAGAUGGUGCCAGUUCGCACCGUGGCGAGUUUCCUCAAUUGCAUACAUUGAGUGGAGUUGAUGAUUGUUUUGUUUUUGCAGCAGGGAAGUAGGCGAUGCCAUCAGACAUCAUGUGGCACAGACUCUCUGUGAAAUGUCCCUUCCUAUAAAGGUGCGAGUUCAGCGGAGGUUAGGGGAGACGUGAACUCGGCGGGCUGGGGGCAGUGGCAGCUCUCCCAUCUGCUUCUGCCUCGUCCUGAACCACGCACCUACGUGACCUGCUGCAAAAGCGC